ACUUUUGAUAUCAGAGCAACUGCCAUACCAGGCAGGGAUGCAGCCGGUCAGGAUUUUCUCGAUAAUGCACCUGUAGAAGUUGCAGAGUAUCCUGGAGUCGAUGUUGAACCUCCUCAGCCUGUAACGGGAGAAGAGGUGCUGUCUAGCAGUACAAGGGCAUGCAAGGUGGUCUGCCUUGGCAUGGGAAAUAUGUUCUGUGCCCUUGCUGUCCCACGUUAAGACAUCAGCUGCAA